CAGUACGACCCACAGAAGGC
rnacentral:snRNA from 1 species